AAAAAAAAGAAAUUGCCUUUCAUGGGUCAAAAACAAUUAUCGAUUUUUGAUAGUUCAGCCCAGUAGAAUUUACCGCCAAGCAGACCAUCUCCUAAUCUGAACCUUAUUCUAAGUAGUAAAUACAGAAGCCCAUGGAAUUAAGCGUGUAGGUGUGUCUGUCCGUCUGGAGAUAUGUACCUAGGACAUCUAAGAAAUACUGAUUUCAUCUAAUUAUGUUCCCAGCAAUUAAAUGAGGUGCAUUUCUCCUCUCUCUCUGAAUCUCCUUAGAUUCAGAUUGCUCUGUGACCUCAGUUCUCUGGUGAGUUAUGAAGAGGUUGUGACUUUGAAGUUAAUCUGACUCUAAUUCAUUGUGAAGGUGAGGACAGUGCACCUUCUGGCUCCCUACAUCCUGGGGCAGAAGCUCGAAGUUUUUCACAGUGCUUCGCUGGCACCACAAUCCAUGGAUUUGUGGAAUCCCUCAAGAUAUUCUGCACAGCCUUACUUCCAAUAGCUGAACCCAUUUCCCAAUAGAAGAAGUGGAGCAGUGGGCUUGUGCCUCUGGAAUUCACUGGUCUUAGCACAUACCCCAACACCCAGGAGCAGUGGGUGUAAUAGGAUGGUGGAAUGGUCUACUGAAGACUCAGUCAUGGCCCUAGGUGGGGUACAACACUCCAUCUUACAAAAUGUAAUUUAUGUUUUGAACCACUGACCUCUCAUAUGGGGCUGUCGCUCUCAUCAUGGUCAGAAUGUAUGGUCUGGGAUCAACAGAGGCAGAGGGAGUGGCUCCUCUCACUGUUACACCCAAUAACCCACUUAGGCAUUUUGCUUCCUGUCCCUCAAUUUUGACCUCCAUUGUUUGGAGAUCUGGGUUCCCAAGGAAGGUGUGCUCCCACCAGGGAGGACAACAGUGGUCCCAUUAAGACAGAAAUUGAAACAAUCUGGUCAUUUUACCAGUAAAUCAGUGGGCAAAGAAGUUUACUCUCCUGGCUGGUGCAUGUGAUCUUGGGAACAAAGGGACAUGUGUUUUGUUCCUACACAAUGGGUGAUGAAGAAUGCCCAGAGCAUUCUCCAGGGCAUCUUUCUUAGCACUUCCCUGUCCAAUGACAAAUUUUAAUGAAAAACUACAACCUCAGAGGUGGGAACUAUUUCAACCCUUUAGGUUAUGAAGUCUUGGGUCACCCUAGCAGGCGUCAACCCUGAUCAGUUGAAAUGCUGGCUGAGGAAAGAGGAAACAUGGAGUGUGUAGGGAAAGAAUGAAGUUUAUUAACUUGCGACCCUUACAGCCUUGCGACCAAUUACAGGAACAAAUUACGGAGCAGCUUCACAUCUUUUCUUCCUUGGUGUGUGUGUGUACUAACUUCUUUCUCCUCUGUCCUCUUAUUAUUGUGUACAUUUUUUUAAAGAGGGUUAACUUUGCUCCUAGCCUUGAGAUAAUAGAAUAUUCAGAUGGGUCUAUGACUAAAGUCCAGGUGUAACUGACAGGAGAUAAGAUGAAUAGUGUAACUGUUUCCCAGAAACGGAUAAAAUGUCUGCUGGGAUUUUGGAGAACGAGUGAGAACAUCUUUUGUACAAAGGAUGUUUGCAAUUUGUUAGGUAGAAAUGGAGUUUUUCUUCUGGGAAGUUUAAUCACGUUUAGAAGUGUGUGUGCGUGCAUGUGUUCACACGCACGUGUAUGCUGAAUGGCCCAAGAGACAGACUGUUGCAAAUAUUAACCUGUUGUUUCUCAGAUUCAAACACUCUUCUAUACUCAGCUUCUGAUGCUGGGCUGGCACUAGGCAAACCCCGUUUCUCAUUCGCCAGCUGCCUCCUUACUAGGAUCAGCCGAUGGAGCCCAGAAGGAGACAGCAAAGCUAGAGGGGGAAGAAAGGGCUUGGCCCUUCCUGUCUGCUUCCUCUUCCUUUGCCCACCCCCCACCCCCCCAAACAAUACCUCUUCGCCCCAGCAAAGGAUGGCGUUCCAGCCACAGUUGUUGAUAACACUUGGUGUCCCUCAGAUGUCUGCCUGGUACCCUGGCCCACAGGGCCCCCCACUCAGCUCAGAGACACUGGUUUUACGUGAGCAGCAGCUUUUUUAAGUUGUUCUUGUUUUUUUUUUAAUGUGGACCAUUUUUGAAGCCUUUAUUGAAUUUAUUACAGUGUUGCUUUUGUUUUCUGUUUUGGUUUUUUGGCCUCAAAGCAUGUGGGAUCUCAGCUCCCCACUAGGGAUCAAACCCGCACCCCCUGAACUGGAAGGCGAAGUCUUAACCACUGGACCGCCAGGCGAGACCCUGAGCAGCAACUUCUUGUCAGAGGUCUUGAAUUUCAGCUCUCCAGGGCCCUCCAAGCUUCUAAAAUUGAACAAUUUCAGCCUCUUCCCUAAGAGUGGCAGCUUCCUGCAUGAUAACCUUAAACGUUCUCUUUUUGCCUUUUUAGCUUUUUAGUACCCCAUUAACAAUUUUUUAUAUUAGAUUUCCCCUGUUAAAAUAAGGAUGGCUUUUAUCUCCUGACUAGAUUUUGACAGAUACAGACUCAUCCUACAGCAGUAAUAUCUGAAAUCAUGGGCUCGGUACGGCUUGAAACCCUGCUUUUUCUAAUCUGCAUUCAAGUUUACAACUAUUAAAGUAAAGGCGUUCAACCCUUUCCACUUCCUGGAAGUUAUCUCGUGUAACCAGAAGUUAGCAGACCACUUUUUGGAGAACACUGCCCAGCACAGUAAUGCCCAUCGGCUUGGUUGCUGAGUCAUUCAUGUUCAUCCCCUUAGUUGUCAAGCUACUUACUGUCCUCUAGGGCAGGAACUAUAUCUUACCUUUUUUUUAUUUACUCCUGCACCUAGCAAGGGAUAUUGCUCAUAUUAAAGGCUUUGAUAAAUGUUUCUUAAGUGAAUGGAUUUGGGAACCAAUUGACCUACAGAGCAUGUUUAAACCACACUGCUAUGGAAGUAAUGACCAACCAAAUGAGAAAAAACAAAGACUUUUUUCUGAGCUUGCUGUAUAGCUAGGGAGUCAGCCACCAUCACUUGUGCCUUAGCAGACUCAGGCAGGCAGGCAGACAGUGGGAAAGCUUUACAGUGGGAAAAAGGGAAGGGUUAGGCGUGCCUUGAUUGGAGGCUGUUGGGCAUGGGAAAGUUAUAGGCGGCCAACUAACAGCAGGGCAUCCUAAGUCAUUGGUUAGGGUCUUGUAUUUUACUUUCUCUAGUUGGUCCCAAAUUGGAAAUAGGGAGAAAAAUUAAGCAAGUUGUCAGUUAUUAACCAAGUCCUGACCAUUUGGGGCUGAUUGUUACAAAGUUAUUUUUUAGCUUCCUGGAUUGUCCCUGGAGAUAGCCAUCUGACUUCCUGCCAAGUCUGGCUUGUAGCAGGCUGGCUUCCUGAGUUGUUUAUUAUGAAGGUUUGAUUCCUUGGGCAGGUUGCUGCAGGUUAUGAAUCAAAAUUCUGUUUUUAUAUGUGGUCUGGCCAUUGUCCAUUUGUGUAUUCGGUCUCAAAAUGCUCAGGUUUAUUUCUAAUCGUACUAUAAAAUACAACCAUUUGAUCAUGUCUCUGAGGAAGGCUGCACCCAAUUUAAGAAGAGGAUGCCACCAGUGGGAUCAGGGAUGUUUGUGCUCCAGCCAUUAAGGGAGCUGUCUGUGCUGGAAGCAGACCCUUCAGUGGUUAAUGCCACAGAGACAAAGCCACCAAAUCAGGCGACUGCAACUUUUUGCCCUCCCAGAUCUUGGGGAAGAAAACUGAAUACCACUGGCUAAUGGAUACAAAAUUCAAUUUAAAAGAUAAUCAUCAUUUCACUCAUAUACAACCAGCCAUUCGCCAACAUUCAAGUUGGUUGACGAACUUUAUCAAAGUGGGCUAUUUGGGGAGGGAGAGAAGAUAUAGCUAUAAUAGUAAUUGCAAGAAAAUCUCCAGAGAACUUCCCGUGUAUAAUGUCUUUUAUGAAGAUACCAGUUUCUCCACUUGCCUACCAAAACACUCGUACAUUUUCCCAAUCCUGGCUUCAGAGAACACGUAGGUGCCUUAUCAUUUGAGUCCAAGGUGUAUUGGCAGCUUCUUAAAAGAGAGUCUGUGGUCUGACUUCCCCUCUCCCUGUAGGCAUAGCCUUCCAUAAGCAGUUUACUAAAAUUAUUUGGUGUCUCUGUAAGUUUUUAUAGAGCUAUAAGCUUCUCACUACACGGUAAGUUCUAAUUUUAAUUUUAAUCAUUAUGAAAGUCAAUCCAUAAAUGGGCCCUGUUUAGCCCUCUUUGGACAAAGAAACUAUUUACACAGAGAGGAUACUACUUUCCAAGCCAGCAGCUCAAUUUUAUAUCCUGGAGUUUCCCUCCAACAUAUUUAGCUUGUUUUCCAUGUGGCCCUGUGUUUUCACUUGCCCCAGGAAAAAAGAUGCAAAAUCACACUGUUCUCCAUAAGACGUAUUUAAUCUGGUUGCUGUCCCUUGCUAAUUUCUCUUCCAUCCGCAUUGUCUGGAUGGGAGAAAAGCCUGUCUGCCCAUGAGUAGCAGGGGCAAUCGUGUGUUGUUGCAAAAUUGCAGCAGGAUCAAACAAGACCAUCAGGUAAUGAAGAUGACAACCUGACAAAUAUUGGCAGAUUACGAUUCCCGGCGACUUGUCUUUCUCCUCUCCCACUCAUGGCAAGCUCUCACACCCACGUCCCCAUCUCCGACCUCUGCUCUGAUCAUUGUUCCUGAUGUCGCUUUACCACUUAUGACACCCACGUCAAGUGGAUGGGUCCUUGAACCUUUGCUACUCCUACUUCAGAUUCUCAUUUAACCUCAUUGGGAUGGGAGCAACUUAAAAAUGGAUAAUAACAAGUGUGCUGUUUGAGCCAUAGACCAGAUUCUGGAGUCCAUGGUAACAGAAAACCUGAGCUACGUCAGGAGUACAAAGCAGAAACCCACACUUGAUCAUCAGAAACCCUAGCAGGUAUUUAACCAAGAAGGGAGCUGGUAAUGGAGGACCCAGAUGUUACUUGGAGGAAAAUGAAGCAAGGUAGAAGCAGUUACUCAUACCACUGCAACAGGCAUGCGAAGAUUUGUCAUUAAAUGUCAGCCAAGUGCCGGGAAUAUUUCUGAUAUUAUUCGACUGUUUGUUUGUUAAACAAAUGUUGAGUUCUGACGCUCAGCCAGCCACUGACUUGUGGACUGGAGAUAUAAGUUAUUGCCUCCAUUUUAUCCAUGAAGAAACUGAGGUACAAAGACAUUCUGUAACUCACCUGAUGUCACACAGCUUUUAAGUGAUAGAGCAGUAUAUGAGCCCAGAUUUACUGAACUCAAAGCCCACACUCUUUCUCUCGUGUCACACUACAGGGGAAAGCAAAAGACUAGAAUUGGGAAACAGGCAUAAAACAACCUAGCCCCAUAAGACCCUAAUUGUUCCCAAACAGAAUCUCACAGAAUUAUAUUGUACUACCUGGUAUUUUUUUAAUAUUUCCUUUUUUCUAAAUUUACUUUUUCAGAUGGUAUGGGUUAAAUUCACAUUAAUAAUCUGUUUUCAACAUAAACGAUUAAUUUCAUAAAUAGGGUAUUCUCUAUAUUAGCGAUCCCGUAUUAAGAAAGAUUUCACAUGUCAAUCUAUGGUAACAAAAAAAUUGGAAAAGCAAUUAUUUGAUGAGUGCUCACUUGGAGUAUAACUGUGUCAUCACAUAUUCAUUUAGGUCAUAUUCUAUGAUAUAUUACCUAAUUUCAAAGCAGGGAUUAUGCCUCACUGUUCUUUGGUUCCAAACCAAGUCCCUCAUGUAGGGCUUUGUAAAGAAGUAGGUAUUUAAAGAUAAUAGUGAAUUGAAUGGGAAAAAAAAUUUUUUUCUGUUUACCUAGCCUCACAUAAAUGUUUUUAGUGACUCUCUGUGAAUUUAUUUGAUAAAUAUUGGCUCCUCAGAGAUUUUGCAUACUUCACUGUUUUGUGAGAAUAUUCUAUCUGCAGGCAUAUAUUCACAAAUUCAAAGUCUUUAGUUGAAGUUUCAAGAGUAAUGGAGUAGAAUUUCAGUACCUUCCCCAGGAGGUUAGAAUUAUAAAAUUCUUAGUUUGGGAUUUACUUCUCCCUUCUGAUUUAUUCCAGGCACCAGAUUCUACUCUCUUUGUCAAACAGAAUAUGCAAGGCAUCUGAGGCUGAUUCUUCCCAGAAAUUAACUCCAGGGCCCACCCCAUCUGGUUAUUACAAGAUAUUGAAUGUAGUUGCCUGUGCUAUACGGAAGAAAAUGAAGAGGUGGAGGAAGUAUGGAAAGCUGUUUCUUCACUGAACUUCCCUGAGAAGGGGCCAAGGAAGAGAUUGGCUUCAAGCUGAAGAUUUUAAAAGUAACUCUUUUUAAAGGUCAGGUCAUUUUAUGUGUCUCUUUUAUUUUGACACUCUAUCAACUGGUAAAAGGAAUUUCUGUUUUUAGUCAACGCUGAGGUAUAAUGUGUAUGUGAUAAGAUGCACCCAUUUUAAAUCUAUGGUUUGAUGACUUUUGACAAAAGUAUUCACCUGGGUAACCAUCACCACAAUGGAGAUGUAGACUGCUUCCAUCCACCCUAGAAAUUCCCUCAUUCCUCCCUGUGGUCAAUUCCUGAUCUCCUGUCUUAGGCAACCACUGAUCUGUUUCUGCCACAUUAUGUUAGUUUUGCCUGUUCUAAAAUUUCAUAUAAGUGGAAUCUUAUAGUACAUAUUUUUUUGUACCCAGGUUCUUUUGCUCAGCAUAAUGUUUUGAGAUUUAUCCAUGUUGUUUGCAUGUUUCCUGCACUUCCAAAAUAAACUGCUUGCACUUGAACCUUCAUUUCAGGGUCUGCUUCUGGGGGAACCCAAAUGGAGACAGCAACUCUGAGUCAGACUUUGGAACAAUUGUUAUUGACAAUGUAUGGGUAGAUUGGCAGGCAGACAGAUAGAUGAUAGAUAGGUAGAUAGAUAGAUAGAUAAUACAUAAAAUCAAGAAAAGGAUGAUUGGAAAGGAGAAGGAUCACAGACUUUUAUCUAGAAAAUUUGUAUUGAUUACAUUCAUAUUUCUUACUGAAUGUUUAAAAAUGGCAAAUUUCUUUCAAAGAUUUUUAUUACGGAAUUUCAAAUCUAUACAAAAAAGUAGACUGAAUAGUAUCAUAAGUUUCCAUGUACCCAUUUUCCAGCUUCAACAACUUACUUACAGCCAUCUUGUUACAUUUAUACUUCCAUCCACUUACCCCACUCUAUAUUAUUUUGAAUGAAAUAUCAUGUCAUACCAUUUCAUCUGAAAAUAUUUUAGUAUAUAUGUCUAAAAGAUAAGGGCUUUUAAAAUAACUAUUAUCACGUGUGAAGUAACAUUUUCUUAAUAUCAUAAAAUAUCCAAUUCAACUAUCUAACAAAUGUCAUAUUUUUUUUUUUACGGUUUGCUUAAUUCAAGAUCCAAAUAAGUUCUCCACAUAAUCACUCAUUGAUAUUUCUCUCAAGUGUCUUUUAAUCUAUAGUUUCCCUACUCCAUCUCACUCUUUUUCUUGCACUGCAUUUAUUAAAUAAUUACUUGAUAUAUUUUAAUUUACUAAGAUUUGGCUAAAACUAAUGCAAAUUACAUUUUUGCUUCCUUUGAGUCAUGCAAUUCAUAACCCAGUACUAGUCCAGUUCUUUACCAUGAUUUCUUCUUUUCUGCAGACUAAUGUUGGAAACUUUUAUUUAUAUUUUGGAAGGCAUUCUCAAAAUGUAAAUGCUUGGAGGCUGUGGAAACAGCCAUAUGUAUAUGAAAGUAAAAUCAGGAGCUCUCAGAAGCUAGAUAAGUAAAGAGAAUGAGAAAGCCAGCAAUAAAUGCCAAAUUACUUUUUAAAUCUCGAAAUCAAUCAUGUCACUUUCUCUACUUAAAAUGUUUCUAUGGUUUUCCACCACACUGGGAAUAAAUUCAAGACUCCUUACCCUGGCCCUGUGUGGUUCAGACCUGCCUUUGUAAUCUCACCUUACUAGCUCUCAGUCUCUUAUGACCAUACAAUCAGACGGCCUUCUCUCCAAACCUCUCUCCUCAGUAGGGUUUGUACACUUGCUUUGUCCUCUGUCUCGGUAGUGCUUGUUCCUGAGUGUAAACAAGUCUGCCCAAGAUGGAGGACUAAACAGAUACAGACGACUACGCCCCAAGUUUAAAAACAUAUAGCCAAACCUGAAAUCAAAAGACAAAAUGUUCCUGUGGCCACCAGAGGAACUUAGCCCCAGUAACAAGCAGAAAUCAGAACCGUGUGGCCCGGGAAUGCAAAAUGGUGCAGCCACUUCGGAAAACAAUUCGGCAGUUUCUUACAAAACUAAAACACAUUCUUACCAUCUG